GAUGAACGCUGGCGGCGUGCCUAAUACAUGCAAGUCGAGCGAACGGACGAGAAGCUUGCUUCUCUGAUGUUAGCGGCGGACGGGUGAGUAACACGUGGAUAACCUACCUAUAAGACUGGGAUAACUUCGGGAAACCGGAGCUAAUACCGGAUAAUAUUUUGAACCGCAUGGUUCAAAAGUGAAAGACGGUCUUGCUGUCACUUAUAGAUGGAUCCGCGCUGCAUUAGCUAGUUGGUAAGGUAACGGCUUACCAAGGCAACGAUGCAUAGCCGACCUGAGAGGGGGGUCGGAGCAACUGGAAGUGAGAGAAGGGACGGAGGAAGAAGGGAGGGAGGAGUAGGGAAUCGUUAGGAAGGGACGAAAGUCGUAAGAGUCAAUGAAGAGUGAGUGAUGAAUGUAUUAGUAUCGUAAAACUUCGUGAUUAGGGAAAAACAGAGGGGCAAGUAAAGGUGCAAACCUUGACGGGACAGAAUCAGAAAGCGAGAGCGAACUACAUG
rnacentral:rRNA from 1 species